UCGAUGAGCAGGUAUUAUGAGCACACACCUGUGUGAGAUGAGCAGGUAUUAUGAGCAUGCACCUGUGUGAGAUGAGCAGGUAUUAUGAGCAUGCACCUGUGUAAGAUGAGCUUGACUAAGGAGAAAACAGCAACAGUGGAUGGACCAAUGGGACGGGCACACAGUGCUCAUGGAAGUUGUAGUAUCAUGUAGUAUCACCUUGAAUUGACUGAUUUCCUUUUUGAAACUACAAUUAUUUUUUUGGAGGAAAAUGCUACCAAAAGGUCACCUGCCAACGUGGCUGCUAAGAGUGAUGGAGCUACACACCACUGCCGAAAUGUACCCGCAUUUGAUCAGCAUACCAAUGUGGACGCGCCCUCCUUUUCUCUCUGCCCAACAUUGCCUUAGCUGCAUGACUUUUCCCCAGGACACAUGCUGCAUUCAAAUGUGUUCAGCAAAACACAAUUUAUCGUGCUGGUGGUAGAGGCGGUAUUUUUGGCCACCGACCUCUGGAAGCUCCGAAUGUGAUGAGAGGAAAUGGACCGGGCGGGGCUCCUGCAUUCAUCACUGUUUCCACGCCAACGGCAGGGAGCCAAACGUUAGAAGAACUUGAUCUCAGCUUUACAAUGGGCAUAUAUGAGAAAAAAAUCAUGGGGGAUACCAGCUACAGCAUUGAUUGUGUUGAGAAUGAAAGCAAUUCACUGAGCAACAACCCAGUUUCAUUGUUGACAAGAAUACAUUUUGAUGGCAAUUUUUUUUUUUGCAGAAUACAUAAUGCACUAGACAUAACUUUAUUGUAAUUUUGUACAUACUGUAGCAGGGUGGCUGAAAGCCAGUGUGGCUGGCUUGUUCGGCUGCCUUUCCGUUUCCAACUGAUUUGUAUUUUGUAUUUUUUACUUUUUAUUAUUAUUUUUAUUAAUAAAAUUUUGUAUCUCCACUCCCACCCGAAUUUGGAAUUUGCCGUUCAUGAACUGUAUACAGAUGUGCUCAUACACACCCCCUGCAGCUCCCUCAGGAGAGUGAAGACUCCUGGUUCAAUCACACAUGUGCACAGAGAGCAGGGGGGGUCUGGGCAGCCAAUAGGGGCUGUAGAGCAAUAACCCUUUCCCAAGCUUCGAAACACAAACCUAAUCUUGCCUCAACCCUAACUUUUACUUACCCUAACCGAACUCUAAUUGGAACCCUAAAACCAAAUUCUAUCCGGAGGAGUAUAUAAUUUUUCAAUUAAAAUGGAGGAAAAGCAUUUGAAAUGUCAUAAAUUCAAUUAAGAAAUACAAAGGAAUGUGCUUGAAGUCAUUAUGUCACUUCACUACUGGGAACAGUAAUGCUAUAGUGUUAUACAGUUUGAGGUUUUUUCAGUUGUCUUCCUUGCUUGGCCUGUACAGUGUCUAUUUUUGAGUCGA